rnacentral:sRNA from 1 species
UUGCAGCAACUUCGCUACCCCCACGGCCUU